AGCUGCCUUCCCUGGGUGUGUCCAUUGAUGAGACAGCAGGGAAGGAGGGAAAGGUUCCUGCUUCUGCUGUGUUACAAUCUCGUCAGGUGUAGCAGAUUGCACACCAAGGAGGCAGUGAUCCUGCCCUGCAAGAAGGCAUAAGGAGUGAAGUGAGAGAAGGCUUUCUGGGAGAGGUGACAACUGAACUGAGUCUUGAAGGCUUGUUGAUGUAUCCUGAUCUCCUAGAACAGUGCUUGACACAUAGGAGGUGCUCAAUAAAUAUUCGUGAAUGAAGUCAGAAGCUAUAAUAAGAGAGGUAAAUUGAGAUGGUGGCUGAAAAGUUGGAUGCAAUGGAAAGAAAGCAACAAAUAGAUUUUAAAUGGAACAUGAGAUCAGCAUUGAGGAGUGGUCCAGGGGCAAGGGGGAUAACAAAUUGCAGGAGGUUAACCCUGAAGGCUGGAAGAACAGUCCAGAGUCUACUACAUUAGACCAGACAUGUUCAUAAAUAGGCAGCUAACUAAGGCAUUGGCGAGCCUAAAUGGUGAGAGAUAGAAAGGAGGGAGAUCUAGGAGGUGGGACAGAAUGUGGGAGAGGCUCCAGGCAUGGACCCAGCACUGGAAGGGCCUUCUUAUACCCUUAUUUUUACAGAUGAGUCUGAGACCCAGAGAGGGAAAGCAACUUGUUCAUGGCCACACAGCAUGCUGACAGUGUAAACUGAACCAAAAAUCCAGGUCCUGUCUCUGGUCACAUGUUCUUUUCAUGCCAUAUGGCCUGUGCUCUCUCUUGCUCUCCUAGCCAAGCUUGUCUUCGGAGUAACCAGUGUCAUCCCAGUAGGGUCCUGGGGCCUCCUCACACAGCGCCACCUCUGACUACUGUUAAGAGUCUUGAGAGUCAGUAGGACGGUGAUGAAGCCUCACCUGAAGCUUCUUCUGGGCCCAGUCCUUGUCCUGGAGCCACUGCCUGCUAUGCAUGGCUGUGAGGCUGACCCCGAGUGGUGGUGGUUAUUUUAAGUAAUUCACGUUGGAGGGAGGAAGUGACUGAGGAAAAUGUGAAAAUGAGUAGCUAUUGCAAGAUGUGUGUGAUAAAUGAAACAGGGAACAUAAAGACAGACGAAGAGGCACAUCUGUUAUUUUUGCUCCUUUUUAUAGCAACCUCUAAGUUUGACUUUUCACACUAAGUAGGAACCCUUUAGUUCCUGAGCAAUUUCCUGACCCAAUCCCUCAUUAGCUCAGUGGGAGCAGAGGAGGAUGGAGGGGGCCAGGGCCCUGAGAGCCAAUGUGAGUCCCUAGAAAAGAGUCCCCCCACCCCAGUCCUCCAGGUUCCCCAAGUGUGGCAGGAAUCGGAGGCUUUGUGCAGAUGAAGUUUGGUGGGCUGAGAAUCCCAGCUCUUCUCUGGCUUCUGCUUCUCCUCCCUUUACUGAAGGAUGGUGUGGCUGACCUCAGUCAGUCCCUAAACCCAAGACAUCCGUACCCAGGCUGUUCCUAGCAAAGCAGCCUGGUUGCAAAGGAGAUGCUUUCUGUAAGAAUAUGGACACUUUCUUUUUAACAUGGGACAAUACUGACAUUCUCUCCUGAGUCAUUUUUCCUCCUUUUGGAGGUGGACAGUAUGCCCGGUGCCCAUGUGCUAGUAGGGCCUGAGCAUGGGGACUGGCUGAAGUCACAGAGGAGCAGGGCUGAUGGUGUCACAUGAUUCUGGGCUUUUUUCAGGGGGAACUGUUCUGCAUUUGGAGGUCCAUCUGCUGCUGUGAAGGUUUGAGGGCUGCUAGGGGCAGGAGACCACUGUCCCUGAAAUAACCCCAAGUUAGUCUGCUUGGGCCCUUUGAUUCCCCUGAGGUGCCUCCUUUGGAGUGGAGCACCAAAGGCUCUGGUUAAAACCAGAUCAUCGUGGGAGAGUGUAUAGAUUAAGCUGUUUAGUUAUUCACACCUCAGCUCUCAUCAGUUUGUUUCUGUUGAUUGUAUGUUCGGCUCUGUGCUAAGUCUCACCGUGUGGUUCAGGGGGAAGAGAAGGCCCACUCUUGCCAGGGAGGAAGUCACCCCCUGGGUGGAGCUGGAGCAGCUUCAGAGGAAUGAAAGGGAUGUCUGAAGGCUGAUGAGAGGGAGGAUGGAGGCAAGACUGCCUGCCAAGAGCAAGGGGUGGGAAGAGCGAUUCAGGAAAGUGAUUGAAUACUUGGAAUAAUUGCCAUGUGGCAUGCAAAAGAGAGGAAAAUGGCUUUUUCUAGGAGUGUGGGGGGGGGCUUGGUUGGGCUGGAAGCCAGGAGUCUGCAGAGCUGCCUGUCAGCUCAAUUAUGUUAUUUUCUCCAGUAGUGGGGACAGCUUGGAAGCAGAAGUGGAUGACGAAGUCAUCACUGACUGUGGAUUGGCCAUGAAGCAGAGCUCAAGCAGCCAUCUUGGACUACAAGACAGUGUUCUAAGAAUGGGCAAACAGCGAGAGAGGAGGAGCAAGGGUUCCUCAGGCACAUAGAGUCUCUAUGUUAUCUCUGGGCUAACCACCUCUGGAUUUCUUUGAGAAA
rnacentral:lncRNA from 1 species